rnacentral:rRNA from 1 species
UACGUAGGGUGCGAGCGUUGUCCGGAAUUAUUGGGCGUAAAGAGCUUGUAGGCGGUUUGUCGCGUCUGCUGUGAAAAUCCGGGGCUCAACCCCGGACUUGCAGUGGGUACGGGCAGACUAGAGUGUGGUAGGGGAGAACGGAAUUCCUGGUGUAGCGGUGGAAUGCGCAGAUAUCAGGAGGAACACCGGUGGCGAAGGCGGGUCUCUGGGCCGAUACUGACGCUGAGGAGCGAAAGCGUGGGGAGCGAACAGG